rnacentral:rRNA from 1 species
GACGAACGCUGGCGGCGUGCUUAACACAUGCAAGUCGAACGGAAAGGCCCUGCUUUUGUUUGUUUCUCGUGUGGCGAACGGGUGUGUGACACGUGAGUAACCUGCCCUUGUCUUUGUGAUAUCUUCUGGAAACUCGGGCUAAUACCGGAUAUAAUCUCCUGCUCCAUGUUGUUGGUUGGAAAGUUUCGGCGUUUGUGUCUGUACUCGCUGCUUAUCAGCUUGUUUGUGUGGUAGUUGCUUACCAAGGCUUUGACGGGUAGCCGGCCUGUGAGGGUGAACGGCCACAUGGGGACUGAGAUACGCAGCAGACGCCUACGGGAGGCAGAAGUGGGGAAUAUUGCACAAUGGGCGGAAGCGUGAUGCAACAGCGCCGCGUGCGGGAUGACGGCUUUCGGGUUGAAAACCGAUUUCGAAUGUGACGAAGCGUGAGUGACGGUAAUGGGUAAAGAAGCCCCGGCUAACUACGUG